CCCGAGAGCAAUCUUAAUUUCAACAUACACGGAGGAGUCACAAGUUAGGGCAGGCUCCAAGGGUCAAACUCAGGUUGCCAGGGUUACAGCACAUCUUUACGCAUCAAUCCGUCAUGUUUGUCCUCCAAAAACUUUUGAAAACAACACUAAACCCUUUAAACUCUCCUAUGAGAUGCCACUGUGACCCUUCUGGGAAGAGAGAAAUGUCCACUGCAACAUCCAGUCAGCUGCUUGAAGUCCUAGAAGCACACACUGGUCUCGAACCAGCUCCAGACAGGAUCCAGAUGCAAUGGCUAUGUAUGAGGUGUCCCCCAAAAGGCUCUAGUGGAGAAGGCUUGGAUUCCUGCUGGUGAGCCCAU